rnacentral:rRNA from 1 species
UACAGAGGGGGCAAGCGUUGUUCGGAUUCACUGGGCGUAAAGGGUGCGUAGGUGGUGAGGUAAGUCGGAUGUGAAAGCUCCGAGCUCAACUCGGAAAUGGCAUUGGAAACUACCUUGCUCGAGGGUUUGAGGGGGGACUGGAAUACUUGGUGUAGCAGUGAAAUGCGUAGAUAUCAAGUAGAACACCAGUGGCGAAGGCGAGUCCCUGGAAAACUCCUGACACUGAGGCACGAAAGCUAGGGGAGCAAACAGG